UACCUUACGUGAGACGACAUCUCCAAAAAAUUUCUCGAAAUCAUUCUUGAUUAUAUUUAAGUAGUACAGCUUUUUCUUAACUUCAGCCAAAUCUUCUGCAUCAUCUACUUCUACGUCAGAGUCAUCUACUUCUUCAUCAGAGUCUUCAGCGAGACUUAACGGUGGCAUAGUCUGUUCUAUGGGAAGCAUUGCACGGGUCAUUAGCUGGUUGUGAAUGACUUAUAUACUGAGUGGACUGCAGGUAGUUUUGGUAGAUACAGUGCUACGUAAAGAAGCUGGAGCAGACCCUUUUGAACCAAUCGGCAGCAAUAGGAGAACAUUGGUUGGAGAUUCUGUUGAAUCAGCAGAGAUUAACAGGUCAGUGUAUAGUCUAAAGAUUUAAUAUAUGGC